UGUGUAAGCGCAGCGAGGCGGUGAGCUAACCGGUACUCAUGAACCGUGAGGCUUAACCUUACAACGCCGAAG
rnacentral:rRNA from 1 species